rnacentral:rRNA from 1 species
CUCGUAGGUGGUUCGUCACGUCGGAUGUGAAACUCUGGGGCUUAACCCCAGACCUGCAUUCGAUACGGGCGAGCUUGAGUAUGGUAGGGGAGUCUGGAAUUCCUGGUGUAGCGGUGGAAUGCGCAGAUAUCAGGAGGAACACCAAUGGCGAAGGCAGGACUCUGGGCCAUUACUGACACUGAGGAGCGAAAGCGUGGGGAACGAACA